rnacentral:tRNA from 1 species
AAUUAAUUAGUAUUUACAUCUAGUUUCGACCUAGAAAAAGCAGAAAAAUUUUUUGCACUAAUUA